CGGGUGAGUAAUACAUCGGAACGUGUCUUCUAGUGGGGGAUAACUGCCCGAAAGGGCAGCUAAUACCGCAUGAGACCUGAGGGUGAAAGCGGGGGACCGCAAGACCUCGCGCUGGAAGAGCGGCAGAUGUCCGAUUAGCUAGUUGGUGAGGUAAAGGCUCACCAAGGCGACGAUCGGUAGCUGGUCUGAGAGGACGACCAGCCACACUGGGAUUGAGACACGGCCCAG
rnacentral:rRNA from 1 species